rnacentral:lncRNA from 1 species
GCAUGAUAUGCAUACACACACACAAAUCUCAUAAAUGUCAUACCACCAUGAACUCUCACAUACUUUUUAUCACACUCAUUCAAUUGCUCAAAAUGCCCUCAAUGAUCUUUUUUGAAUUAAACUUAGAGCCACUAUCCAAGCCAAACAAGAAAUUGACCUUACUAUUUUAUUAUGUUACACUAUAUAACAUGGACAUUCAACACUGACAAGCUAAGUCCAAAGUAUUAGAUUGUUCUCACGUAAGCUUUCCAAAGCUUAUUCUGGAAGUGAAGCUAUAAGAACAUGCACGAUUUGGAAUGGUUCAUUUAAAAUCAUUUAGCCUCAAAGCCAAAGUCCAUUAAAGAACAAAUUUAAUUUUAAUAAAAAUACACUUAUGAUAGAAGCAGAGACAUAAAGGAAGGCAAUGUAUAGUGUAUAGUGAUUUACAGUGAAUAGUCAUUUACAAAUAAAUAAAUGUAUCAGACCCUACCUAGGUAAAGAUGAAAGAUCAAUCAAUAAACAGAAUUGUAGUUAUGAGACUCCAUGGUACUGGUCUUAGAAUAAAAGUUAAGUUUGAGAGCUAUUUCAAGUUAGGCUAGAAAUGCUAUAAUUGUUGUUGUAUAUGGAUUAGGAAAUUUGUGCUCAGAGAGCUCCAAUUAACUUCUUUAAAUUUCACCAUCAGUGAAAAGCCAAGCCAGGAUUCAAAUCAGCGCUCUUUGACCUCAACUUCCUUGUUGUAGAGACAUAUGCCCUACUGUUUGAAUAGAUACAUUGAAUGGAUCAGUAUAAAAGCAAAGUGGUCUAUAAAUAGAAAAUAUUCUAGAAUUGAUUAAUCUUGUUCCCAUUUGGAAAGAUAUCCAGUAAAACCCUCAGAUAGAUAUGAAAGAAAUCAUGUCUAGCAUUAUAUCUGGACAACUCAAGAAAAAGAGUCUGUGUUGUUAGGGUGUGCCAUGUACAGUUACCAAAACUACAUUUGCAUACAGCUUGGACAAUCAGCGAAAACUCCUACCAGGAUCAUAUAGAAGCCAAUGAGCUAAUUUCUUACUAGGCUUAAGAAAAAUCUUCCUUUUCUGCUUUGUCCCUAGUUCUUAAUGACCAUAUGCAUUUCUGAGGGGCAGUUUCAUAACAAUAGACUAAGGACAUGAGGGAAGAGAUGCCUUCCUUAUCAGAAUAUGAAUCGGUGUGUUAGAAAGAGAUAGUUCAUCUUUCUGAAUGAAUAGGAGUGUUUGCAUAUUGGAGUAAUUGAUUAUUUCAUGCUGUUGUCAUUUGCUACUCACAGUUUAAUUAAGCUUUUUACAUAUACCUACAUUCUUAUAAAAAGUGCCAUUGGGCUUUUGAAAUUUAUGUAUAAAAACAUGCUCUCCUAUAGGAGCAGGAUAUUAAAAUAACAAAAAAAAUGUUAUAUGUGGACAUUAAACUUAGUUCUUCCAGUAGCCAGGACAAAAGAGGAAGUAUAAUCUUUAAAAAUUCUCAUCAUAGGGAUCCCUGGGUGGUGCAGCGGUUUAGCGCCUGCCUUUAGCCCAGGGCGCGAUCCUGGAGAUCCCGGAUCGAAUCCCACGUCGAGCUCCUGGUGCAUGGAGCCUGCUUCUCCCUCUGCCUGUGUCUCUGCCUCUCUCUCUCUCUCUCUGUGACUAUCAUAAAUAAAUAAAAAAUUAAAAAAAAUUAAAAAAAAUAAAAAAAAUAAAAAUUCUCAUCAUAGAGAAGAAAUACUCACACAUACAUGAACUUAUUCUCCUCUUUGGAAUAAAAUACAGAGCACUGAUCACUCAUUGUAAAAUCUCAGAUGCAUGACUUUUCUAUUUCCUGCUCACGGCUUCGGUGAUCACUAGUACGCCAACAAACCUCAGAUCUAUGUUUUCUCCUUCAAAUAUGUUCCUUUUUUAUAUUUUUGGUCUCAACAAAUGAAAUUUUCAUCUCUAAAAUCUCUAAAGGUUUUAUUUAUUUGAGCAAGUGAUCAAGAGAGAGCAUGAGGGAUCCCUGGGUGGUGCAGCGGUUUGGCGCCUGCCUUUGGCCCAGGGCGUGAUCCUGGAGACCCGGGAUCGAAUCCCACGUCGGGCUCCCGGUGCAUGGAGCCUGCUUCUCCCUCUGCCUCUCUCUCUCUCUCUGUGACUAUCAUAAAUAAAUAAAAAUUAAAAAAAAAAAAAGAGAGAGCAUGAGCAUGAGCCAGGUGGGGAGGAGCAGAGGGAGAGGGAGAAGCAGACUCCCCACUAGGUAGGGAGUCACACUGGACUUGAUCCCAGUACCCUGGGAUCAUGACCUGAACCUAAGACAGAUGUUUAACCGAUAGAGCCACAUAGGCAACCCUUGUCUCUAGUUGUUUAAAAUGGAAACCUGGACCAUGUUAACUCCUUCUCUGUCACUCCUUCAUCUCCCCUGCAUUCAGUCAAUAGGAUCUGUUGGUAUUGUCUCCUGAAUAUGUCUCAAAUUUCCUCUGCAUACCUAUGGUAUAUUGUAUGCCACUUCUUAGUUCAGGCCGUCAUCUUUUCUUGCGUAGGUCCCUCUGGUAAUUGGUAAAUGCUUUCCUUGUCUUCAGUUUUGCUUUAUGUCCUUCAGUUCUCUUCCUUGACAUUUCUUAUUGGCUCUUUCUCUUGUUGAUAAGAAAUAUAUACUUCUUUUUCAUGUCAAUAAUACUAUCCCUUGCGUAACCAAUAAUAACUAUUAUUUCGAC